rnacentral:rRNA from 1 species
UUAUUCUUGUUUAAAAUAUUUAUUUUAACAUUAGCUUGUAUGUAAAUUUUUGUGGAUAGUAAAAAUCUAAAUGAUUUGGAAUUUGCAGUGGGUAUUAUUAUUGAUAUUAAGUUAUUUUAGAUUAAGUAAAUGUUUUUAGGAUUGAAUAAAGUUGUGCCAGCAUUCGCGGUUAAACAACAAAUUCAAUUAAAUAUUAUCGGUUUUGAAAUAAUUAUUGUAGUUAUUUUUUAUAAAAGGAGUUAUUUUAAGGUGAAAUAUUUAAAAUGAUUUAUAUAUAAAAUAUUUAGCAAGAUUUUAUGAAAUUAAAUUUGUAAACUAGGAUUAGAUACCCUAUUAUUUUUAGUGUAAAUUUGGUUAGCCUGAGUAGUAAUAGAUAUAAUCUUUAAACUUAAAGAAUUUGGCGGUAUUAUAGUCUAUUUAGAGGAAUCUGUUAUGUAAUCGAUAGUCCACGUUGAACCUUACUUAUAUUAUUUCUUGUAUAUCGCUGUUUAGAGAAUACUUUUAGGUUAAAUAUUUUCUUAAUAAUAUUAUUUAAUAAUUCAAGUCAAGGUGCAGUAAUAUAUAAGUUGAAUAAUGGAUUACAAUAAAUUUUAUUUAAAUGGAUGAUGAAUUUAAUAUAAUUUUGAAGGUGGAUUUAAAAGUAAUUUUAUAAAGAUUGUUAAAAUGAUUUACGGCUCUAUAAUAUGUACACAUCGCCCGUCACUCUCAUUAUUAAUGAGAUAAGUCGUAACAAAGUAGAUGUAUCGGAAGAUGUAUCUAGAUGGUAAAUA